AAUAGCAUGUGGAAGGAAGCUUUCCUGUACACAUAGCCAAGCGAAGGAAGAGAGAUGAAAAGGGAGAGAAAGUGAGGAGGAGGAGGAGGAGGGGCAGGGGGAGAACAUAAGAAAGCAUAGGAGCUGCUGGCAAGCCUUGGUGCUUUUAAUUGGUUCCAAGUGUCCCAGAUUUCCCUGCACUGGAGAGCUCCUCUGGUCCUCCUCUCUGGAGCUCUUCUGGAAUGGCCUCCGUAGCAGCAUGCACUCCAUUUGCCCCUGGAUUCUUUAUUGUUAUUAGGCGAUUUCCUGGGGAACUUCUGGAUGGCAGUACAGUGCAGUCUGCAUUUGUCAUCCAGCUUUAAAGCUCAAGAACUCAGGGAGCUGCAAAUCUCUGCAACCUUUAUACUUCUCCUGCCAAGAGUCUUCAAGACUGAAUCUUCCCCGAAGCCUAGAAGAGUUGUUUUGGCUGGCUCAUAAUGGAGCGACACAGAGAGAAUCCAACAACCAAACAAACCAAACCCAACGUCAGUCCCCAGGUUUCUCUCAUUCAUCACCGCGAGGGGCCAGACCUGUGAAUGCACAUUCAGAGACCCCCAACCCUCCUGCUGAGAGCGAGCAGACCACCAUGCAGAAACCUCCACGUCUCUGGAUCUCCUCCCAUCCUGUUUCCCCACUGCCUGGCCCUGAUAAGUCGUCUUGGUCGGGAGGAACAGCGAUGGCCUUUGCCUGAGUCAACGGAAAUGGAGGAAACAGAAUUCCUUACGUGACAACGAAAAACACAAUGGAGACAGGAAACAUUGAUGUGGAGAGGACGAGAAAGAAUGAGACAAGAACAGAUAGUAAGAGGAGCCGUUUGUCUAUAAUUAAGUUUCUCCAAGUCUUGAGUGCAUGGGGACAUGAACUCUUUAAGUCCAGCGGUUCUCAGAUGGUUUUGCUUCAGAACCAGGUUUCACAUUGGACAUCAAGUAGCAACCUAAAAC
ensembl:lncRNA